GAGUUUGAUCGUGGCUCAGAUUGAACGCUGGCGGCAUGCCUUACACAUGCAAGUCGAACGGCAGCAUGAUCUAGCUUGCUAGAUUGAUGGCGAGUGGCGAACGGGUGAGUAAUACAUCGGAACGUGCCCUGUAGUGGGGGAUAACUAGUCGAAAGAUUAGCUAAUACCGCACACGACCUGAGGGUGAAAGUGGGGGACCGCAAGGCCUCAUGCUAUGGGAGCGGCCGAUGUCUGAUUAGCUAGUUGGUGGGGUAAAGGCCCACCAAGGCGACGAUCAGUAGCUGGUCUGAGAGGACGAUCAGCCACACUGGGACUGAGACACGGCCCAGACUCCUACGGGAGGCAGCAGUGGGAAUUUUGGACAAUGGGCGAAAGCCUGAUCCAGCAAUGCCGCGUGUGUGAAGAAGGCCUCGGUUGUAAG
rnacentral:rRNA from 1 species